rnacentral:rRNA from 1 species
GAAUAUUGGACAAUGGGCGAAAGCCUGAUCCAGCAAUGCCGCGUGUGUGAAGAAGGUCUUCGGAUUGUAAAGCACUUUAAGUUGGGAGGAAGGGCAGUAAGCGAAUACCUUGCUGUGUUGACGUUACCGACAGAAUAAGCAAGCGCGACCUCUGUGCCAGCGGCCGCGGUAACACAGAGGGUGCAAGCGUUAAUCGGAAUUACUGGGCGUAAAGCGCGCGUAGGUGGUUCGUUAAGUUGGAUGUGAAAUCCCUGGGCUCAACCUGGGAACUGCAUCCAAAACUGGCGAGCUAGAGUAGGGCAGAGGGUGGUGGAAUUUCCUGUGUAGCGGUGAAAUGCGUAGAUAUAGGAAGGAACACCAGUGGCGAAGGCGACCACCUGGGCUCAUACUGACACUGAGGUGCGAAAGCGUGGGGAGCAAACA